UUUAAAACCGUUGGAUUUGACAUAUUGGAAAAGAGAUGGCCGGUGUAUGUGGUUUCAGGCGUAGAGGAUUAGAUUAUGAGUUGGAAAAUGGUGGGACCUAUCUCAACCAUUUGGAAGACACGGUCGUUAAUCAUGCCAAUCUUGACCGUCCAAUCAAUACUCUGUUUCUUGCCUCCUUCCUUGCCCAAUGUAAACUCUAACACUCUCUUCCACGGCUCAUAUAUACCAAGCCAAUCCAGCAAAGGUUUUCUCGUGGUUUCCGAUUUUCGAUUCUCUCCGCUCCAUGGCAUCGGCGGCUAUUCGUUGUCACGGAAACCGGCAUUUCAUCAAUAGCCGUUGGCCGGGAGAUACUUCUCCGAUUAAUCAGAAUGCUCGUGUAGGGAUGUGUUCCGUCUCGAAAAAUGCUUGUUCCAGACGGAAACGAUGGAGGAUUUGUUCGAUGUCGAUGGGGAAAAGGACGGGAAUAGCGGUGGCAAAUCAUAAGAAUAAGAUCAACGGCGGUGAUGAGGUGGCGGUUGUAUAUGAGAAGUUGGAUGAGUGGAUGAAAAAUUCGGUGGUGGAGAUCGUGAAGAAUUUACGAGAAGCGCCUUUGCUGGUACAGAUUUACGAUAAGGGAGAAACAACGACGUUGAAGACGGAGAAGGCGGUGGAGGAGCAAACGUGGCCUUUGGUGAUGCGAGAAUGGGAGAAAAGAGAAGUGCCAUUGCCUGAAGGGGUAAUAUUCGUGGAGCAAUUGGAGAAGGAUGAAAAAGAGGAAGGGGAAGGGGAAGGGAUGACGAGGGCUUGGGGAAUAGUUGUGCAGGGGAAAGGGGUUGAUUGUGGGCCGGUGUGCUACUUGUUGAAGACGAGCAGAGCUGGGUCAUCGGGGUUAGGAGUCUGCUGCACCCAUUUCUGCUUGAUGAGGGUGAAGAAUUUUAGGGAAAGUGCCAGGUCUCAGCUCAAGAAUUGCUGGUUGCUACAAGGGCAAUAAGCUACUGGGUUAGUUGAUCAAUUACUGGCGUAAACAAUUUGGAUUACUUUAAUAUUGGUUAUGAUGUAAAUGAUUUUUAUAGGAACUUCAUUACUCUAAACUGUAAUGAUACAUUCAUCUCAUCAAAUCUUACGAGUAGUGAAGGUUGAUUCUUUUUUUCGUUAAACAUUAGCCAAUUUGCAAAUAAUUUUUAUCUGUAAAAAUGUAUCUUUGUAUCUUAAAAGAAAGAAGUUAGAAAAUCAUAUAAUU
rnacentral:misc_RNA from 1 species